rnacentral:rRNA from 1 species
CCAAUAGCGUAUAUUAAAGUUGUUGCAGUUAAAAAGCUCGUAGUUGAAUUUCGGGAUCAGUACGUUGGUCGUGCCUUGGUAUGUACUGGUGUCACUGGUUCCUACCUUCUGACGAACCGUCAUGUCAUUAAUUUGGUGUGGCGGGGAAUCAGGACUGUUACUUUGAAAAAAUUAGAGUGUUUAAAGCAGGCUCGCGCUUGAAUACAUUAGCAUGGAAUAAUGAAAUAGGACGUUCGAUCCUAUUUUGUUGGUUUCUAGGAUUGACGUAAUGAUUAAUAGGGAUAGUUGGGGGCAUUAGUAUUCAAUUGUCAGAGGUGAAAUUCUUGGAUUUAUUGAAGACUAACUACUGCGAAAGCAUUUGCCAAGGAUGUUUUCAUUAAUCAAGAACGAAAGUUAGGGGAUCGAAGACGAUCAGAUACCGUCGUAGUCUUAACCAUAAACUAUGCCGACUAGGGAUCGGAUGAUGUUAAUUUUUUAAUGACUCAUUCGGCGCCUUACG